GUUAUCCCAGGAGGCUGCCUUCGCCAUCGGUGUUCCUCCGCAUAUCUACGCAUUUCACUGCUACACGCGGAAUUCCACCUCCCUCUGACACACUCUAGCUCGGUAGUUAAAAAUGCAGUUCCAAAGUUAAGCUCUGGGAUUUCACAUCUUUCUUUCCGAACCGCCUGCGCACGCUUUACGCCCAGUAAUUCCGAUUAACGCUUGCACCCUACGUAUUACCGCGGCUGCUGGCACGUAGUUAGCCGGUGCUUAUUCUGCAGGUACCGUCAGUUUCACGGGGUAUUAGCCCAUGACGUUUCUUUCCUGCCAAAAGUGCUUUACAACCCGAAGGCCUUCAUCGCACACGCGGGAUGGCUGGAUCAGGGUUUCCCCCAUUGUCCAAAAUUCCCCACUGCUGCCUCCCGUAGGAGUCUGGGCCGUGUCUCAGUCCCAGUGUGGCUGGUCGUCCUCUCAAACCAGCUACGGAUCGUCGCCUUGGUGAGCCGUUACCCCACCAACUAGCUAAUCCGAUAUCGGCCGCUCUAAUAGUGCAAGGUCUUGCGAUCCCCUGCUUUCCCCCGUAGGGCGUAUGCGGUAUUAGCUACGCUUUCGCGUAGUUAUCCCCCGCUACUAGGCACGUUCCGAUACAUUACUCACCCGUUCGCCACUCGCCACCAGACCGAAGUCCGUGCUGCCGUUCGACUUGCAUGUGUAAGGCAU
rnacentral:rRNA from 1 species